UACGUAGGGUGCAAGCGUUAAUCGGAAUUACUGGGCGUAAAGCGUGCGCAGGCGGUUUUGUAAGUCUGUCGUGAAAUCCCCGGGCUCAACCUGGGAAUUGCGAUGGAGACUGCAAGGCUAGAAUCUGGCAGAGGGGGGGUAGAAUUCCACGUGUAGCAGUGAAAUGCGUAGAGAUGUGGAGGAACACCGAUGCGAAGGCAGCCCCCUGGGUCAAGAUUGACGCUCAUGCACGAAAGCGUGGGGAGCAAACAGG
rnacentral:rRNA from 1 species